UCCUCCAUAGCUCAGUGGUUAGUGCGUCCUACCGGCACCUGGAAGAUCAUGGGUUCGAUUCCCGUUGGGGUACUCAGAA
rnacentral:tRNA from 1 species